rnacentral:misc_RNA from 1 species
UUAAGUUCAGCGGGUAGUCCUACCUGAUCCGAGGUCAACCAUUGUGCCGCCGGAGCGGGCUUGUCGGGGGGGUUUAGAGGCAGGAGACCUGCGGGCUCCCGAUGCGAGGCUUAUGCUACUACGCAAAGGAGAGGGCCACGCGGGACCGCCACUGAUUUUAGGGGCCUACCGGUGCGGUAGAUCCCCAACGCCGGGCCACG